GAUGAACGCUAGCGGUAUGCUUAACACAUGCAAGUCGAACGGCAGCACGGGAGCAAUCCUGGUGGCGAGUGGCGAACGGGUGAGUAAUAUAUCGGAACGUGCCCAGUCGUGGGGAUAACGUAGCGAAAGCUACGCUAAUACCGCAUACGAUCUACGGAUGAAAAGCGGGGGAUCGCAAGACCUCGCGCGAUUGGAGCGGCCGAUAUCAGAUUAGGUAGUUGGUGAGGUAAAGGCUCACCAAGCCGACGAUCUGUAGCUGGUCUGAGAGACGACCAGCCACACUGGGACUGAGACAGGCCCAGACNCCUACGGGAGGCAGCAGUGGGGAAUUUUGGACAAUGGCGCAAGCCUGAUCCAGCAAUGCCGCGUGCAGGAUGAAGGCU
rnacentral:rRNA from 1 species